CCUUUUGUUCAUUUUUUGUUUGUUUGAAUCUUAUAGUUUCGCGGAGUGUGGCUUGAUGUUGGGUUGUCUAGACGAAUUGGCUACGAAGUUUGUUAAGAUUAUAUCUACUGAUUGUAUUCCUAACUACCCUGAUUGUAAAUUUGUAAUCUUCCUACGUUGCUGGUGUACCGUCACGGGGCUGUGAAAGGAACACAUGUGGGGUUGAAGAGCGUUGGUCGUAGGUGCACCCCAGAGAGUGUAGCGUUAGUUUUGUGUCAGUCAGAGCCAGUUCUUAACGAUGGUAAAAGCGGAGACGAUGACUCCUCAAGGGAAGCUGUGAUGGCUGGAGUUCGAAGACAGUUCAUAGAACGAGUGGUGAAAGACUAUGAAGAUAAAGAUACGGAUGAUGAUGAUUACAAUAGCGAUUAGAACACUCUCAAAGCUUCUUUUUUUGGUAAGACUCAUAAACAAAACUGCUGACUUCAUUUUGUCUUGUAAUGCUUUCAUCAAAAAAUAUCUUCUUCUUUUCUGAAAGUGGUAGGGAAAAAACCUAGCAUAGAUGUGAAACAGUUUUGUAAUAUGUUAAGGGCUACCAAAGAACCCAUCUACAAAAGAUGUAGAGAAUGACUUCUAGAUUAUCUUUAGCAAAUAGAAUGGUGACAAUUUUCUUUUUUCUUUUUGAACACAUAGGCUGCUGAUAAUUAAAAGUGAUUUUUAGUUAGGGUGGUUUUGCAAAAAUAUAAAGACAAUAAAUAAUUUAAUGCAAUCAAUAGUAAAAAAAAAUCACUUCCAUGACGAGAAUACGGAAUUAGCUCAAACAAUUGUUAACAGUGAACAAUAGAACAUAUAUUAUUUUUAUAUGAUCAUAAAUAAUAGGUCAACAAUCAAUUAUAAUACCGACACAGAGAAUAUAAAAUAAAUAACAACGGGAUGAAAUUAAUCAUCUGAUAUUAAUAUGGGGAUGUCAUUUUUAAAAAUUAACCAAGAGUGGUGCUCUACUUGGUUGAUUCACUUUUUGGGUCUAGGUACGGCAAUGUUCGCUCUGCUCGCAUCCUUUGCGGUAAUGACUCAUUUCCUGUUUCUUGCAGGUCUUAGGGUUUAGUUUAUCACAAGCUAAAGCGUGAUCUUUAAUAAUGACAGCAUAGUCUAUGGUUCUUGCAGCCUCUAUCUUGGUUGCUGCAAAAGCCAAGAACACCACAAAAGCCAGAGAGACGAUAACUUUGAUACUUUUGGACAUCCCCAUAUUAUUAAUAAUUUGUUAUUUUUAUGUUCCAAAUAAAUUAAAUAAAUAAAUAG